rnacentral:ncRNA from 2 species
GUCACUGUACGCGGGAGCUCGCGCCGGAAGCGGGCUGAGAGGGCGGCUGUCCGAGAAGGACGGUGCCGCCGACCGCUCGAACCUGACCGGGUAAUGCCGGCGUAGGGAGCUCUUCAUGAGCAAUG